UACAGAGGUGGCAAGCGUUGUUCGGAAUUACUGGGCGUAAAGGGCGCGUAGGCGGCCAUCUAAGUCAGACGUGAAAUCCCCCGGCUUAACCUGGGAACUGCGUCUGAUACUGGACGGCUGGAGUUUGGGAGAGGGAUGUAGAAUUUCCGGUGUAGCGGUGAAAUGCGUAGAUAUCGGAAGGAACAUCAGUGGCGAAAGCGACUUCCUGGACCAAUACUGACGCUCAUGUGCGAAAGCGUGGGGAGCAAACAGG
rnacentral:rRNA from 1 species